AUUGAACGCUAGCGGGAUGCUUUACACAUGCAAGUCGAACGGCAGCGCGGACUUCGGUCUGGCGGCGAGUGGCGAACGGGUGAGUAAUGUAUCGGAACGUGCCCAGUAGCGGGGGAUAACUACGCGAAAGCGUAGCUAAUACCGCAUACGCCCUACGGGGGAAAGCGGGGGAUCGUAAGACCUUGCACUAUUGGAGCGUCCGAUAUCGGAUUAGCUAGUUGGUGAGGUAACGGCUCACCAAGGCGACGAUCCGUAGCUGGUUUGAGAGGACGACCAGCCACACUGGGACUGAGACACGGCCCAGACUCCUACGGGAGGCAGCAGUGGGGAAUUUUGGACAAUGGGGGCAACCCUGAUCCAGCCAUCCCGCGUGUGCGAUGAAGGCCUUCGGGUUGUAAAGCACUUUUGGCAGGAAAGAAACGGCGCGGGCUAAUACCCCGUGGAACUGACGGUACCUGCAGAAUAAGCACCGGCUAACUACGUG
rnacentral:rRNA from 1 species